rnacentral:misc_RNA from 1 species
GAUGAAGAACGCAGCGAAAUGCGAUACUUGGUGUGAAUUGCAGAAUCCCGUGAACCAUCGAGUCUUUGAACGCAAGUUGCGCCCGAAGCCUCGGCUAAGGGCACGUCUGCCUGGGCGUCACGCAUCGCGUCUCCCCCAAACCGCCAAGGCGGAGGGGAAGGAAGACGGCUUCCCGUGCCUCACCCGGGCGCGGUUGGCCUAAAUUUGGAGCCCGCGGCACUUAGCUCUCGCGGCGAUAGGUGGUGAACAAGGCCUUGGCCGUGCAAACAACCCGCUGCGAAGCUCUAUGUCACGUGCGCUCGUCGGACCCUUUGAAGUUGCCUUUGGUGACUUAAAACCUUUGCGACCCCAGGUCAGGCGGGGCUACCCGCUGAAUUUAAGCAUAUCAAUAAGCGGAGGA